UACGAGGGGGGCAAGCGUUGUUCGGAAUUAUUGGGCGUAAAGGGUAGGUAGGUGGUAAUAAAAGUCUGGGGUGAAAUCCCUGAGCUCAACUCAGGACGUGCCUUGGAAACUUUAUUACUAGAGUACUGGAGAGGUUCGUGGAAUUCCCGGUGUAGCGGUGAAAUGCGUAGAGAUCGGGAGGAACACCAGAGGCGAAGGCGACGAACUGGACAGUCACUGACACUCAACUACGAAAGCGUGGGUAGCAAACAGG
rnacentral:rRNA from 1 species